UAGGGAAUCUUCGGCAAUGGACGGAAGUCUGACCGAGCAACGCCGCGUGAGUGAAGAAGGUUUUCGGAUCGUAAAGCUCUGUUGUAAGAGAAGAACGAGUGUGAGAGUGGAAAGUUCACACUGUGACGGUAUCUUACCAGAAAGGGACGGCUAACUACGUGCCAGCAGCCGCGGUAAUACGUAGGUCCCGAGCGUUGUCCGGAUUUAUUGGGCGUAAAGCGAGCGCAGGCGGUUAGAUAAGUCUGAAGUUAAAGGCUGUGGCUUAACCAUAGUAGGCUUUGGAAACUGUUUAACUUGAGUGCAAGAGGGGAGAGUGGAAUUCCAUGUGUAGCGGUGAAAUGCGUAGAUAUAUGGAGGAACACCGGUGGCGAAAGCGGCUCUCUGGCUUGUAACUGACGCUGAGGCUCAAAAGCGUGGGGAGCAAACAGGAUUAGAUACCCUGGUAGUCCACGCUGUAAACGAUGAGUGCUAGGUGUUAGACCCUUUCCGGGGUUUAGUGCCGUAGCUAACGCAUUAAGCACUCCGCCUGGGGAGUACGACCGCAAGGUUG
rnacentral:rRNA from 1 species